rnacentral:rRNA from 1 species
AGCGAACGCUGGCGGCAUGUCUAACACAUGCAAGUCGAACGGCAGCACGGUGUGUAGCAAUACACAUGGGUGGCGAGUGGCGGACGGGUGAGCAAUACUUAGGAAUCUGCCUAGUGGUGGGGGAUAACCAGUCGAAAGAUUGGUUAAUACCGCAUACGACGGUGACGUGAAAGCGGGGGAUCGUAAGACCUCGCGCCAUUAGAUGAGCCUAAGUCCGAUUAGCUAGUUGGCAGGGUAAUGGCCUACCAAGGCGACGAUCGGUAGCUGGUCUGAGAGGACGACCAGCCACAGUGGAACUGAGACACGGUCCAGACUCCUACGGGAGGCAGCAGUGGGGAAUAUUGGACAAUGGGGGAAACCCUGAUCCAGCAAUGCCGCGUGGGUGAAGAAGGCCUGCGGGUUGUAAAGCCCUUUCGGUUGGGAAGAAUAAAGUCCGGCGCCAAUACCGCCGGGCCUUGACGUUACUGACAGAAGAAGCACCGGCUAACUCUGUGCCAGCCGCCGCAGUAACAC